rnacentral:rRNA from 1 species
GAGUUUGAUCCUGGCUCAGAACGAACGCUGGCGGCAGGCCUAACACAUGCAAGUCGAACGAGCUGAGACCUUCGGGUCUCGAUGCUAGUGGCGCACGGGUGAGUAACGCGUGGGAACCUACCCUGUAGUACGGAAUAACUAAGGGAAACUUUGGCUAAUACCGUAUACGCCCCUCGGGGGAAAGAUUUAUCGCUAUAGGAUGGGCCCGCGUCUGAUUAGGUAGUUGGUGAGGUAACGGCUCACCAAGCCGACGAUCAGUAGCUGGUCUGAGAGGAUGAUCAGCCACACUGGGGCUGAGACACGGCCCAGACUCCUACGGGAGGCAGCAGUGGGGAAUAUUGGACAAUGGGCGAAAGCCUGAUCCAGCCAUGCCGCGUGAGUGAAGAAGGCUUUCGGGUUGUAAAGCUCUUUCGACGGGACGAUGAUGACGGUACCCGUAUAAGAAGCCCCGGCAAACUUCGUGCCAGCCGCCGC